rnacentral:rRNA from 1 species
AUUGAACGCUGGCGGAAUGCUUUACACAUGCAAGUCGAACGGCAGCACGGACUUCGGUCUGGUGGCGAGUGGCGAACGGGUGAGUAAUGUAUCGGAACGUGCCCAGUCGUGGGGGAUAACGUAGUGAAAAUUACGCUAAUACCGCAUACGAUCUAUGGAUGAAAGCGGGGGAUCGCAAGACCUCGCGCGAUUGGAGCGGCCGAUAUCAGAUAAGGUAGUUGGUGGGGUAAAGGCCCACCAAGCCAACGAUGUGUAGCUGGUCUGAAAGGAUGACCAGCCACACUGGAACUGAGAGACGGUCCAGACUCCUACGGGGGGCAGCAGUGGUGAAUUUUGAACAAUGGGCGAAAGCCUGAUCCAGCCAUUCCGCGUUCAGGAUUAAGGCCCUCGGGUUGUAAACUGCUUUUGUACAGAACGAAAAGGUUUCUACUAAUACUAGGAGCUCAUGACGGUACUGUAAGAAUAAGCACCGGCUAACUACGUGCCAGCAGCCGCCGUAA